rnacentral:rRNA from 1 species
CCUACGGGGGGCAGCAGUGGGGAAUAUUGGGCAAUGGAGGCAACUCUGACCCAGCAAUGCCGCGUGAGUGAUGAAGGUAAUUUUAUUGUAAAGCUCUUUUCUUUGGAACGAAUAAAUGACGGUACCAAAGGAAUAAGCCCCGGCUAACUACGUGCCAGCAGCCGCGGUAAUACGUAGGGGGCAAGCGUUGUUCGGAAUGACUGGGCGUAAAGGGAGCGUAGACGGUUAUGUAAGUCUGGAGUGAAAGCCCGGGGCCCAACCCCGGGACUGCUUUGGAAACUGUGUAACUGGAGUACAGGAGGGGCAGGCGGAAUUCCUGGUGUAGCGGUGAAAUGCGUAGAUAUCAGGAGGAACACCGGCGGCGAAGGCGGCCUGCUGGACUGAAACUGACGUUGAGGCUCGAAAGCGUGGGGAGCAAACAGGAUUAGAUACCCGGGUAGUC